AAGUCGAGGGGUAACAGGGUAGCAAUACCGCUGACGACCGGCGCACGGGUGAGUAACGCGUAUGCAACCUGCCUAUAACUGGGGAAUAGCUCCCUGAAAGGGGAAUUAACACCGCAUAACACUAUUGAUUCGCAUGGAUUAGUAGUUAAAUGUAGCGAUACAGGUUAUAGAUGGGCAUGCGUGACAUUAGCUAGUUGGUGAGGUAACGGCUCACCAAGGCUACGAUGUCUAGGGGUUCUGAGAGGAAGGUCCCCCACACUGGUACUGAGACACGGACCAGACUCCUACGGGAGGCAGCAGUGAGGAAUAUUGGUCAAUGGGCGCAAGCCUGAACCAGCCAUGUCGCGUGCAGGAAGACUGCCCUAUGGGUUAUAAACUGCUUUUAUAGUAGAAGAAACACAUCUACGUGUAGAUGUCUGCCAGUAUACUAUGAAUAAGCAUCGGCUAACUCCGUGCCAGCAGCCGCGGUAAUACGGAGGAUGCAAGCGUUAUCCGGAUUUAUUGGGUUUAAAGGGUGCGUAGGCGGGACUGUAAGUCAGGGGUGAAAUACUGCAGCUUAACUGUAGCAUUGCCUUUGAAACUGCCGUUCUUGAGUACAGUUGAGGUAGGCGGAAUGUGGUGUGUAGCGGUGAAAUGCAUAGAUAUACCACAGAACGCCGAUUGCGAAGGCAGCUUACUAAGCUGUUACUGACGCUGAGGCACGAAAGCGUGGGGAUCAAACAGGAUUAGAUACCCUGGUAGUCCACGCUGUAAACGAUGAUUACUAGUUGUUGGCAAUACACCGUCAGCGAUCGAGCGAAAGCGUUAAGUUAUCCACCUGGGGAGUACGACCGCAAGGUUGAAACUCAAAGGAAUUGACGGGGGCCCGCACAAGCGGAGGAACAUGUGGUUUAAUUCGAUGAUACGCGAGGAACCUUACCAGGGCUUGACAUCCCGAUGACCGGUACAGAGAUGUACCUUCCCUUCGGGGCAUUGGAGACAGGUGGUGCAUGGUUGUCGUCAGCUCGUGUCGUGAGAUGUUGGGUUAAGUCCCGCAACGAGCGCAACCCCUAUCCUUAGUUGCCAUCAGUUAAAGCUGGGCACUCUAAAGAGACUGCCGGGGAUAACUCGGAGGAAGGUGGGGAUGACGUCAAAUCAUCAUGCCCCUUAUGUCCUGGGCUACACACGUGCUACAAUGGCCUGUAACAGAGGGAAGCGAAGCCGUAAGGCGGAGCAAAACUCAGAAACCAGGUCCCAGUUCGGAUUGUGGGCUGCAACUCGCCCACAUGAAGUCGGAGUUGCUAGUAAUCGCGAAUCAGCAUGUCGCGGUGAAUACGUUCCCGGGCCUUGUACACACCGCCCGUCACACCAUGGAAGUUGGGGGGACCCGAAGCCGGUGACC
rnacentral:rRNA from 1 species